GUCACUUUACGUUUUGUCCCUCCUCGUUCUGGGCAAUUAUGGCGAGGGAUUAGUUUUCACUCCCUCCUUCCCCUCCCCACGGGCCCUUCCAGUGAUCUCUGGGAGGGGGACGGGAGGGGAAAGGUCAGAGAAGGGAGCGCCCUCCCCGAAGGUCUGGCUAGUAGCUCCAGCCAUAAUUACAGCCCUCUCUCAUCCUCCAAGCUCAGCGACCUUGAGAAGCCAUAGAACACUGAACAAUGUCCGAAUUGGGAGGAACCCUAGAAUAUCUUAGUGAUUUAUCAAUUCAACCCACUCUUUUUGGUGGAGAACCAAUCCGGAGGAAAUUCUCCAGGCAGGCAGCAGGAGGACGGGAGAGGGAAGCGCUUACCUCAGAGUUGGCGAACCCCGGCCCCCGCUGGUUGUGUGACCUUGACAAACCUGCACCUUCGGGGGCUAAAGUUGAACAACUAUCGCGGAUCUGAGCUGGGGAAAGGCUCCGAGGCAGCUGCCAAUGAAGGAGGUCCGACUUCUCUCACUAAACUUCCCAGCCGCUCUAGGAUCUGACCUCAGACACUUAGCCAGCUGUGUGAUCCUGGGUAAGUCAUUUUAUCAUAUUUGCCUCAGUUUCCUCAUCUGUACAACGGCCAACCCUUCCAGUAUCUCUGCCAAGAAAACUCCAAAAUGGAGUCACGAAGUAAGCAGCUGAAGUAGCUGCGGUCAGGUCUUGGACAAGUCCCUCAAAUUCUGUGAAACUUCUCUUCUUAUGCAAUCCCUCCCACACUCGCACAUUGGGCUCCUUCUUCUCCCCCGGGGCCCAGGGGCAGCCCUGAAGCAUUAGGGCAUCUUUCUCUGCUGUCAUAUAGCUCAUGAGCCCCCAUCGAUGCGCUGUGACUUUCAGUUGCUCCCGGUCAGCCAGGCUUCAUUAAGUUUUAGAAAGAAGUAUUUUAUUACGUCUCUAUGGUUGCUUUUUUUUUUUUUAAAUCCUUAAGUCAGGGAACACUCUCCUGUGAAUAAACUCUGUCAGAAAGACAUAAGAGUGGACUCAAGUACAAGUGGUAAAGCGGUAACUCACAGAUGCUGGGAGUCUCUGCUGGAGUUCUCAAGAUUUUUCCCCUUAGGCAGGUUGUCCCUUUUUUUUUUUUUUUUUUUUUUCCUGCUGGGCUAUUUGUAGUCUUGAAUUUCCAUUAAAUCUGUCCUUGGUGCUAAGUGAGAUGAGCAGAACCAGGAGAUCAUUAUAUACCUCAACAACGAUACUGUUUGAGGAUGUAUUCUGAUGGAAGUGGAUCUCUUCGAUAAGGAGAGCUAAUUCAGUUUCAAUGGAUCAAGGAUGGACAGAAGCAGCUACACCUAAAGAAAGAACACUGGGAGAUGAAUAUCAACUGCUUGCAUUUUGGUUUUUCUUCCCGGGUUAUUUCUACCUUCUGAAUCCAAUUCUCCCUGUGCAACAAGAAAACUGUUCGGUUCUGCACAUGUAUAUUGUAUCUAGGAUAUACUGCAACCUAUUUAACAUGUAAAGGACUGCUUGCCAUCUGGGGAGGGGGUGGAGGGAGGGAGGAGAAAGAUCGGAACAGAAGUGAGUGCAAGGGAUAAUGCUGUAAAAAAUUACCCUGGCAUGGGUUCUGUCAAUAAAAAGUUAUUAAAAAAAAAAAAAACCUGUCCUUGGCCUCUGAUGCAGACAGUGCAAUUAGCUAUUCUGGGGCCGCUGCUAGGACAAAAGCCAAAACCCUCCGGAUCUCCAAAGUUCACCAGCUUCACGGUGCCGUUAGUGGUGAGAAGGAGCCUGAGACGGAAGCCCUUCCCUCCCAAGGGGAGAAGUUUGGGGCUCCCUUCUCCGUCACCAAAUCUCAUUCCAACCAGCUUGCAGUUUUCUACAGGACUCAGAGGGCAUGACCAAUUUAACCAUUUUUUUUUAUUUUUAAAUAAAUUUUUUUUAUUUAUCAAUUUAUCAGUCUUUAGCCAAUUCAAACAGAUUUCUCGGGACACCCAAGCUUGUGCCCCAGCUUCUUUCACCCUUAGCAGACAAAGGAGAAGCUUUUUACCAGAUAAAUGGAAAGGGGCAGAGCGUUUAUAUGCUUACUUCGAGGGGAAUGGGUUAAUUGAUUUACCAGCUCUAACUUUCCAUAUAUAAAUAGAGUGAUCUUCACUUUACACAUAAGAAAUUAGACUCCGAAGGGUCUUGCCAAGGGAACCUCGUUCUAGUGAUUCCAUAUCCCGAGGAUCUUUGCAAUACACUUAAGCUCCCUUUCCUAGGAGGGAUUGAUCUUCCCAACUCAGCAAAGAAAUCAAUUUGGAAAUCCCUUUCUCAUUGGCUGGGGGAUGUCCAAGUCAGAACAAUCUUCCCAAGCAGACUUCGAGCUCAGGUACAGGUGGAAAGCCUGGCCACCUACUCUGAGCAGGAUACAGUUUCUCUUCCCGAGCCAAGGCUGGGAACUCUUGGGUCUGUUUUGAUGCAUCACCAAGGUGCCCCUGGCAAGCACCUUCCCUGCUUCAGGUCCCAGUCCUUACUUGGUAGUUGUUCUGAAUUGCCUGAAGUGAUGUGAGUCAUUGUUCAUUCCUGUCUCCCUUUUGUAGACAGGGGUCACCUGGGGUGCCAAGCUAAGGACAGAACAGCACCUGAAGGCCAUGCUGACCCGCCCCUCCAGAUUGGGGAAGGGGUAGGCUAGACUAAGGGCUUUUAGCUUCUUUGGGGACAUAACCUCCUUGGGUGGCUUGAGAAAGCCUACGAACCCCUUCUUAGAAUUUUGUUUGUUAAUGCAUAUAGAAUAAGUUUAGCUCUCUUUGCAUGUAUUUUGAAAAUAAAAAGCUAUUAUUUUAGAAAGGAAGGAAGAAAGAAAGAAAGAAAGAAAGAAAGAAAGAAAGAAAGAAAGAAAGAAAGAAAGAAAGAAAGAAAGAAAGAAAGAAAAGAAGGAAGGAAGGAAGGAAGGAAGGAAGGAAGGAAGGAAGGAAGGAAGGAAGGAAGAAAGAAAGAAAGGAAGGAAGGAAGGAUGGAAGAAAAAGAAAGAAAGAAAAGAAGGAAGGAAGGAAGAGAGAGAGAGAGAAAGAAAGAAAGAAGAGAAAUAGACUAGAUUAUUUUUAUUCCAACUCUGAGAAUCUAAAACUUCAUGGAAGCUGUUACCUCAGGCUGAUUACUUGGUUAUAUUCUUAGAAUGGCUGGUACAAGGAUAAUUGAUUUAGAGCUGGAAGUAAUAUUAGAGCUUUUUUUUAAAAUAACUUUUUAUUGACAGAACCCAUGCCAGGGUAAUUUUUUACAGCAUUAUCUCUUGCGCUCACUUCUGUUCCGAUUUUCCCCCUCCCUCCCUUCACCCCCUCCCCCAGAUGGCAAGCAGUCCUUUACAUGUUAAAUAGGUUACAGUAUAUCCUAGAUACAAUAUCUGUGUGCAGAACCGAACAGUUCUCUUGUUGCACAGGGAGAAUUGGAUUCAGAAGGUAUAACUAACCCGGAAGAAAAACAAAAAUGCAGAUAGUUCACAUUCAUUUCCCAUGUUCUUUCUUUGGGUGUAGCUGCUUCUGUCCAUCCUUGAUCAAUUGAAACUGAAUUAGCAAUAUUAGAGCUUUUAAAAGAAGAAUAAGUUUAUAUUGAAAUCGCUAUAAUUCAUUUGAAUUUCACAGAUCUCAGGUUAAGAUGGUCUGAUUUAGGCUCUCUCUCUUAUUUUACAAAUGAACAAAUGGAGGCUUAGACAGGAAGAUGGCCUGCCCACACUCACACAGGUGAUUCCAAAUUCAGUGCUGAAUGCUCAGUUGACCUUCAGUCCUAGGCCCGGGAGGCCAGCCAGCUUUCCUGAACAGUGUUUCCCAAUGAGAACAAAGGAGGUUUCUUCUCAGGCAAUGAAGCUACAACAUUAGGGGGUCGCUCAGCUGACUCCUUGCCUCUAGUCUUCAUCUGGCUUAGGAUUUCUCUUUGUCCCACAGAAAUAAGCUCUCGCUGGAACCUGCCCUGCGCCCAGGAUGGUAUUCAGAGGGAACACAAAAGCUUCUUAAGUCCUGGCCCCCCUCUGCCCUCCCCACUUCCUACAGUCACUUCUUAACCUGCCAUCCCGGGCCAGCCCUGGGCGAUGCCUGAAAUGGGCCAAGUGCUUUUGGCCCCCAAACUCCUCUUUCUGGGCCCUCUCCCAACUUUUUAGCACCUCCUUCUAAUCAGGCACCCACUGUGCCUCUGGCUGUUCUUUCUGUCAGAGAAGCAGCCCCCUAGAGUGGAAAAAUACUAGUCUGGGAAUCCAGAAAUCCCCGUUCCAAUCCUAGCUCUGAAAUUACCUCUCUGUGACUCAGCCAACCUGCUCCCUUUCUCAAGGUCCUCAUCUUCUUAAUCUGUAAAAUGUAUUCCCCACUGACAUCCCCUGUUCUAAGCUCCCUCCCAGCUCUGACAUCCCCUGUUCUAAGCUCCCUCCCAGCUCUGACACCCCCUGUUCUAAGCCCCCUCCCAGCUUUGACAUCCCCUGUUCUAAGUCCCCUCCCAGCCCUGACACCUCCUGUUCUAAGCUCCCUCCCAGCUCUGACAUCCCCUGUUCUAAGCCCCCUCCCAGUUCUGACAUCCCCUGUUCUAAGCCCCCUCCCGGCCCUGACAUCCCCUGUUCUAAGCUCCCUCCCAGCUCUGACAUCCCUUUUCUAAGCCCCCUCCCAGCUCUGACCUGGCUGGGACUGGUCACAGUUCCAGGAUCAAGAGGAGUGCUAAUGCUUAAAGCUCUAGGGGAACAGGGACUGUUCCUGGAUAAAGUCCAGAGCAUAAACCAGACAGCAGUGACCACAUCUGUCCCAGUAUGAUUGAUCCUGGGUCAAUGGAAUGAUCCUGAUCACGGAAGCCCUGAAAACUUCCCGCAGCCUCUGAAUUAGCUCUGAAAACCACAUAACAGAAAGUCUGAAGCUUGGGACAAUGUCUCCUCUACCCAAGGUGAGCAGAGCCUAACCUUUAACAUAGGCUAAAAAAAUGAAGAAACAAUGACAAUAAUAACUAAACAAAUUUAAAAAAAACUACAACGUGGUAGGAAAGAUCAAGACACAAACUCCGAAAAAAGACAGCAAUGUGAAAAUAACUACAACCAAAGCUUCAAAGCUAACUGUUAACCGGAAAUGAGAAUUCCUGGAGAGCUUAAAAAAAUAAAUAAAUAAAGAGGGGUAGAGGGAAAAUUGAGAAAGGAAAUGAGAGUGAUGUAUUUUCUAACUGGUACAAUAGAACAAUGAAAUAAUAUUUGAAAAUUAUAGAAAAUGUUUCUGAUAAAGUCCUCAUUUCUCAAAUAAAUAGGGAACUGAAUCAAAUUUAUAAAAAUAAGAGCCAUUUCCCAACUGAUAAAUAGUCAAAGGAAAUAAACAGUUUUCAGAAGAAGAAAUCAAAGCUAUCAAUAGUUAUAUAGAAAAAUACACUAAAUGACUAGUGAUUAGAGAAAUGAAAAUUAAAACUUCACCACAUACUUAUUAGAAAUGAUAAAUGCUGGGGGAUAUAUGGAGAAAUAGGGACACUAAUUCACUGUUGUGAAGUGAUAACCCUAGUCCAAUCAUUCUGGAGACCAAUUAGAAACUCUGCCCAAAUGAUUAUAACACUAUUCCUUUUUUAUUAUAGCUUUUUAUUGACAAAACAUAUGCGUGGGUAAUUUUUCAACAUUGACCCUUGCAAAGACUUUUGUUCCAACUUUUCCCCUCUUUCCCCCCCUCCCCUAGAUGGCAGGUAGUCUAAUACAUGUUAAAUAUGUUAAAGUAUAUGUUAAAUACAAUAUAUGUAUACAUAUUUAUCCAAAAACUAUGCCUUUUGACCCUAAAAUACUACUUGGCAUGUAUCCUAAAGAGAUAAAAGAAAAAAAGGAAGAAAACCUAGAAGUACAAAAAUAUUUAUAGCAGCUUUUUCUGAUGUCAAUGAAUUGGGAAUCGAGGGGUUGCCCGUUAAUUGGGGUAUGGAUGAACAAGCUGUGGUUUAUGGCUGUGAUGAAAUAUUAUUGUUCCAUAAGAAAUGAUGACCAGGCUGAUUUCAGAGAGUCCUAGAAAAAUUUAAAUGAACUGAUGCUAAGUAAAAUGAGCAAAAUCAAAAGAACAUUGUACACAGUAACAACAAGAUCAUAUGAUGGUCAACUGUGAUGGACUUGGCUCUUUUCAACAAUGCAGUGAUUCAAGGCAAUUUCAGUAGAAUUGUGGUGGAAAAUGCCGUCCACACCAAGAAAGAGAACCAUGGAGACUGAAUGUGGAUCAAAACUUAAUAUUCUCACCCUUCUUUUGUUAUUGUUGUUUGGGUUUUUUUCCUUUCUUGUGUCUUUUUUUUUUUCUUUUUGAUCUGGUUUUUCUUGCACAGCAUGAUGAAUAUGGAAAUAUGUUUAGAAGAAUUGCAGAUGUUUAACCUAUAUCAGAUUGCUUGGGAGAGGGGGCGGAAAGAGGGAAACAAGUUUGGAACAUAAGGUUUUGCAAAGGUGAAUGUUAAAAACUAUCUAUACAUGUAUUUGGAAAAUAAAAUACUAUUUUAAAAAGAC